rnacentral:rRNA from 1 species
AGAGAGAGACAUGCGCGCAUAUCAAUAAGCGGAGGAAAAGAAACUAACAAGGAUUCCCUUAGUAACGGCGAGUGAAGCGGGAAGAGCUCAAAUUUGAAAUCUUCUAAGGUUUUACCUUGACGAAUUGUAGUUUAAAGAAGUGUUUUCUGCUGAAGUUUUGGUAAAAGUUCUUUGGAAUAGGACAUCAUAGAGGGUGAGAAUCCCGUAUUUGACCAUUAUUUUCAGCUUUGUGAUACACUUUCAAAGAGUCGGAUUGUUUGGGAAUGCAGUCCAAAAUGGGUGGUAAAUUUCAUCUAAAGCUAAAUAUUGGCGAGAGACCGAUAGCGAACAAGUACCGUGAGGGAAAGAUGAAAAGAACUUUGAAAAGAGAGUUAAACAGUACGUGAAAUUGUCAAAAGGGAAGCGUUUGACACCAGUGUUGUUUUCUCGAAAAUCAAUUAAAAAUGGCUCGAUUUUGUAUUGCUUGAGACCUUAAAAGCUCACUGUACAUUUUUCGUGUCUUUUUUAAUGCACUUUUCGUUUAACAAGUCAACAUCAGUUUCUUUUGUUGUAAAAGGGUCAUUGGAAGGUGGCUUUCUUUUCGGAGAAAGUGUUUAUAGCCUUUGGCCUCUGCAAUCGGAAGAGACUGAGGUCUGCAGCGUAGACUCUUCGGGGUUAGAUACAUUUGUGCUAAGUUAUAGCUUUUUAUAGACAACUUGUUGACUAUAAUUAGUCUUGUAGCUUACUCGCUUGUGCUAUUUUACCUACGCUUAGGAUGUUGAGUCGUAGAGCACGCAG